AUAGUUAUUUAUGUAUUCAUUGUUGUCCGAACGAUUAUUGGCCAAAUGUAACUAUGUUAAUUAUAUGGACACCCAAUCAUUCUUUUGCUCUGGCAUAUUAUACAUGGGCUUUUUGCGACUUUGUCUUACUAAAAAGUUGGUAAGGAAAUAUGCGUAAAUAGUUUUAAGUGUCCAGGCUUUCAUUGGCCUUCAUUGUUUAUUGUAUUU